rnacentral:rRNA from 1 species
AGAGUUUGAUCAUGGCUCAGAUUGAACGCUGGCGGCAUGGCUAAAACAUGCAAGUCGAACGUGCCCGCAAGGGCAAGUGGCGAAAGGGUCAGUAACGCGAUCGAACGUACCCCGAGGUGGGGGAUAGGGCGGGGAAACCCGCCAUAAUACCCCAUGAUGUCUACGGACCAAAGGUUUACCGCCUUGGGAGCGGCGAUCGUCCUAUCAGGUAGUUGGCGGGGUAAAGGCCCACCAAGCCUAAGACGGGUAGCGGGUGUGAGAGCACGGCCCGCGACAUCGGAACUGAGACACUGUCCGGACUCCUACGGGAGGCUGCAGUAGCGAAUCUUCCGCAAUGGGCGCAAGCCUGACGGAGCAAUGCCGCGUGUGGGAUGAAGCGGCUACGCCGUGUAAACCACUGUCAGGGGGCAGAAACAAUGAUCGCCCCCAGAGGAAGAGCCGGCUAACCCUGUGCCAGCAGCCGCGGUAAUACAGGGGGCUCGAGCGUUAGUCGGAAUCACUGGGCUUAAAGGGUGCGUAGGCGGCCCGCCAAGUGCUUUGUGAAAUCCCACAGCUCAACUGUGGAACAGCAGGGCAAACUGGCGGGCUUGAGGCAGGUAGGGGCCGGAAGAACAGUUGGUGGAGCGGUGAAAUACGUAGAUAUCAACUGGAAUGCCGAUGGGGAAGCCGUCCGGCUGGGCCUGUCCUGACGCUGAGGCACGAAAGCGUGGGGAGCAAACAGGAUUAGAUACCCUGGUAGUCCACGCCGUAAACGAUGUGCACUAGACUGGUGCGGUUUUGACGCCGUAUCAGUCGCAGUAAAAACGAUAAGUGCACCGCCUGGGGAGUACGGUCGCAAGGCUAAAACUCAAAUGAAUUGACGGGGGCUCACACAAGCGGUGGAGCAUGUUGCUUAAUUCGAGGCAACGCGAG